UACGUAGGGUGCAAGCGUUGUCCGGAAUUAUUGGGCGUAAAGAGCUCGUAGGCGGUCUGUUGCGUCGGCUGUGAAAACCCGGGGCUCAACCCCGGGCCCUGCAGCCGAUACGGGCAGACUAGAGUUCGGCAGGGGAGACUGGAAUUCCUGGUGUAGCGGUGAAAUGCGCAGAUAUCAGGAGGAACACCGGUGGCGAAGGCGGGUCUCUGGGCCGAUACUGACGCUGAGGAGCGAAAGCGUGGGGAGCGAACAGG
rnacentral:rRNA from 1 species